UCGGCGUCUCGUGGGGCUCGGCCCCACACCCCGGCGCCUCGAACGCCGACGGGGCUGAGAGAUCAGCCCCGUCGGCGUUCGGGGCGCGGGGUUCCGGG
rnacentral:tRNA from 1 species